UACGUAGGGGGCUAGCGUUGUCCGGAAUCAUUGGGCGUAAAGCGCGUGUAGGCGGUUCGGUAAGUCUGCUGUGAAAGUCGGGGGCUCAACCCUCGAAUGCCGGUGGAUACUGUCGGACUAGGGUGCGGAAGAGGCGAGUGGAAUUCCUGGUGUAGCGGUGAAAUGCGCAGAUAUCAGGAGGAACACCAAUUGCGAAGGCAGCUCGCUGGGACGUUACUGACGCUGAGACGCGAAAGCGUGGGGAGCAAACAGG
rnacentral:rRNA from 1 species